rnacentral:rRNA from 1 species
CAGGGAUAGCCUUUCGAAAGAAAGAUUAAUACCUGAUAGUAUGGUGAGAUUGCAUGAUAGCACCAUUAAAGAUUUAUUGGUAAACGAUGGGGAUGCGUUCCAUUAGGUAGUAGGCGGGGUAACGGCCCACCUAGCCGACGAUGGAUAGGGGUUCUGAGAGGAAGGUCCCCCACAUUGGAACUGAGACACGGUCCAAACUCCUACGGGAGGCAUCAGUGAGGAAUAUUGGUCAAUAGGCGAGAGUCUGAACCAGCCAAGUAGCGUGCAGGAUGACGGCCCUAUGGGUUGUAAACUGCUUUUAUAAGGGAAUAAAGUGAGUCUCGUGAGACUUUUUGCAUGUACCUUAUGAAUAAGGACCGGCUAAUUCCGUGCCAGCAGCCGCGGUAAUACGGAAGGUCCGGGCGUUAUCCGGAUUUAUUGGGUUUAAAGGGAGCGUAGGCCGGAGAUUAAGCGUGUUGUGAAAUGUAGACGCUCAACGUCUGCACUGCAGCGCGAACUGGUUUCCUUGAGUACGCACAAAGUGGGCGGAAUUCGUGGUGUAGCGGUGAAAUGCUUAGAUAUCACGAAGAACUCCGAUUGCGAAGGCAGCUCACUGGAGCGCAACUGACGCUGAAGCUCGAAAGU